rnacentral:lncRNA from 1 species
GUGCAUGUUCUGACCUCCAUAGCGAGUCCCGUCAGCCUACAGAGUCUGUCUGCGGACGGGUCUCAGCUGCAGGAGAAAGUCAGAAACAGCCACCAGCUCUUCUCUGAGGUGGAAGAACAGACUGAGAGGAACAUCCAGGAUCUGGACAGGCUGCAAAGGGAGGGUCAGCGUUUGCAACAAUGGUUGCAAGGCGUUGAGGAAAAAGCAGCGAAAGAGGAGGAUCUUAGUCUCCUGCAGGAGGAAGCGCUUCAACAAAGGUAAACUGUUAACGUGGAAAUGAGCAAAUCUCGUGCAGAAGUGCGAAGGUCCAAACUUUAAGUUUAUCCAUCAGACAGUUUGC